UCAGGACGAACGCUGGCGGCGUGCUUAACACAUGCAAGUCGAGCGAUGAAGCUCCUUCGGGAGUGGAUAGCGGCGGACGGGUGAGUAACACGUGGGUAACCUGCCUCAUAGAGGGGAAUAGCCUUUCGAAAGGAAGAUUAAUACCGCAUAAGAUUGUAGUACCGCAUGGUACAGCAAUUAAAGGAGUAAUCCGCUAUGAGAUGGACCCGCGUCGCAUUAGCUAGUUGGUGAGGUAACGGCUCACCAAGGCGACGAUGCGUAGCCGACCUGAGAGGGUGAUCGGCCACAUUGGGACUGAGGCACGGCCCAGACUCCUACGGGAGGCAGCAGUGGGGAAUAUUGCACAAUGGGGGAAACCCUGAAUGCAGCAACGCCGCGUGAGUGAUGACGGCCUUCGGGUUGUAAAACUCUGUCUUUGGGGACGAUAAUGACGGUACCCAAGGAGGAAGCCACGGCUAACUACGUGCCAGCCGCCGC
rnacentral:rRNA from 1 species